UUCAGAUGUUCAUUCUCCAGGCGGAAGAAGUUCCACACAAAUCGCCUUAGCAAAAUGGAGUAGGCAAAUUACUUAUAAAAUAUCAGAGAGAGGCAGGAACAGCUGAAGGAAGACCAGUUAGAAGCUAUUGCAGUAGUCCAGGAGAGAUGAAGACUUGGACUAAAGUGAUGAGAAGGCACAGGAUUUAUGAAGAUGGAGCUAUGAAACUUACUGGCUCUCUUCUAGACCCCAGGAAUAGAAGCCAGAUGAGAUCCUCAAUCUGAAUGAGAUGACAUUCUAAUAUGUAUUUGAUAUGCUAAUGACUCAACAGCUAUUAGAGAAGAUUAA